ensembl:lncRNA
GGAGACGUGAGGUGUCCGUGCGGACCUUUGGCAGCGUGUUCUUCCGGGAAAAAAAGCCUUCUUAUCGACCCCGGAGUGAUUCAGGAUGAGAGCACAGAUGCUUUACACCAGCAGGAGGUUCACCCACAGCCAAGGAGAACAGCAAACUCACCAGCUUUUUUCUGGGUCUCUUGGGCCUGACAUCCACAGCAUCCUUUGUCAUAUCCCAGUGGUGGAUGUCCAAACAGCUCUUUCCCUUCAGCUGCUCAUCUCUUGAGUGCUCUCAGAAGAAAAUCUUUGGUUUGCCUCACAGUUUUAUUAGGCACAUAAAUAGACCCUCAAGCAAAAGUCACCCCAAAAGGACCAGCAAAAAGGAGCCUGGGGUUUUAACACCUCCUGGCAGUCUGGACUUGCAAAUUACAUUUUCCUGCUGUACUUCUCUGCAACUCCCUCAAUUACCCAAACAGGAAACUGGAAAGUCCCACAGGCUCUUGGGUCUCUCCCUCACACUGACAACUGGCACCCAGCAUCUGUACUUUGGCUGGCUUGUUCACCAAUGUGAUCAAGAGUGAUCUGGGCAAGGAGGAAGAGCCUGCAAAUUGUCUUCAUGGGAGAAUUUUCAAUUCUGAGCUGAAAGGAAACAGGCCUGGAAAUUACAUUGGUCUUUGUGUGGUUGUUUCUCCUCAUAGCUCAGUCUUAAGGUGGGUGGCUGGAUCAUCCUUUGCUGAUUGUGCAGUAACACCUCUACUUCAGGAUUCUUUUGUGUACAAUGUGUAGAACACCUGGAAUAUUAGAUAUACCUCCAAACCAUAGGAACGACACCAAAUUGCAAAGCCAAUAUAUGAUACCAUGUACAAUGUAUUAAUGCUCUUCUAAUGGUUUUGAUAGCAGAAUACCAAAUUCUGUUAAAUGCUGCAUAUAUGAUUAAUAAAUACAAAACCAUGAAUAAACAAAGUUCAGAAUCUGUUCCUCAGCUGAGUUGAAGAAAUAUAUAUGGGAAAUGGGAAUCAAAACUAAAGAAAUGAAAAGAUUCUUCUUGUUGUAGGUUGUUGCUGGAGUACUACUUGAUACAAAGUGGUGUUAUCCUGGGGGAUUUGUAAUGAGAAAAGUCCAUUAAAGAACUCAAAGAAUUUCUCUGUGAUCAAGAUUUGGAUGUAAUUAAUUUUAAUUCAUCUACACUACAGAGAUGUGCAAUGGCAUGUGUGAACAUGUGAUGUGCAUCCCCUGCACUCCUCCUGAGGCCUCAGUGUGGUCUGAGAAAUGCUCAUUAGGCCUCGAUCUUCACAAACGGCACCUAGGCUGAGCUCCUUCUGAGUUUAUCAAAAUCAGUCUGUUCCCAGGAACUAGGACUGUCUAAUGAGCUCCUGAUUUUUAAUGAACUGCCUUGGAAACUUACUUUUCUUGCCUCGAAAACAACCCAAGCAGAAUAACAAUUUUGUUAUCAAACUUUCAAAGAACAUGCUAUCCCAGAUUUGCAGUCAAGAUGAAAAAUUAUUAUGAUUGAAGCCCAUUCUCUUGUGACUCUAUAAACAAUGGCCCAAGGUGAGACCCUUUGAGCUCUCCUGGACAGCAGAGACUGUGACCAGCACCUCCCUCUAUGUGAGGCCUCUCAGAGCCAGAGAACGCUCAAGUUUGCUAAACUUGGAAGAUCACUGAAUGAUAAUGAUGGACUUACACCCCCACUUCUCCAGACUCAACCCUUUGCCCAUUGGGAUGAUCCAAAGGCAUCAGAUGUGUGUCCUUCACCAAAUUUGAGGAGAAUUUGUCACAGGUACUCUGUGGGUGUUCUUAUACAGACCCUUUAGGUAUGUGUGCAUGAGGGUGUGAAUAUGCUAUAGCAUAUGUACAAGGAAUGCUGUUCUCCUAGAUUCUUAAGUACUUCAGGUUUGUAAGUUAGGCCAAUGAGUUGUAGUAAAUUCUAUAUGAAUCCUUAGAUAAAUUGUUUGUCAGUUAAGUGCCCUUAAGUGCUGUUAAAGCUAUAGACCUAAACUGUCAAGUCUGGGGCGCAGUUUAGCAAAGGGGUCUACUCUGAAACUUGUGAUGCAAUGGGAGGGUCUUCCUUAUUCUUGUUUGUCCUUACCCCUUUCCUAUCCUUAUCCCCAGCCUCCACAGAGUUAAGUUUUGAGUUGAUUUUGGAUUUCAAUUGACUGGUUUUGGGUUUUGAGUUUGCUCUUUUUCUGUGUGCUUUUACCAGAGCAUUAGUAGUAAGUAGUAGUAGAGGGAACCUUGUAAAUUAACUACAUCAUACUUCCUGUUUUAUAUUAAACGUGCUUUUGCCUAUGAAUUUGCUGUGAUUCUUUAAGUAACCUUAAAACGCUCAUUUGCCAGAGAACACUAAGAAAAAUAAACACGUGUACAUUUGAACCAAUGCAUUGGCACAGCAUUAGGUUUCUGUUGCUGCCAGCACAGGCUUAAGCUGUGCAUUGGCUGAGCAGCAGCACCAUCUUGUGAUACAGGUACAAAACAUUCUGUAGGGUCACACACCUGGAUGUUCACCCUGUGCUUGGCAAGUGGGGGACUCAGCUUCUGGCCUUUGCACUGGCCACUGAUCCCGACCCAGUCGUUCUGUUGAGCUACUUCAGCCUCACCCUGUUUCAUUGGCGCUUAAUUGAAACAUGGACAGCUAAUUCAGUUAUCGAUCAGCUCCCAAAGCAUCCAGGGAGCUGCUGGCAACUGGGCUUAAGGUCUGGUCAUUUUAGUUUGUUUUGGAAGCUCUACUUCUGUCAUUAUAGAUGUCCUGCUGGUAUAUUAAGUCUUACCUGAUGUACUAACUCUUAUCACUGUCAUAAUCACACCAGGAAUGGGACUAAUCUGUCUUCCUUGCUGAGGCUUAGGAGAAAUGCAGGAGAAAAGCAAGCUGUGUGUGUCAUCAAUGAGGCAAUGCCAUGGGGUUUUUGAAGUUUUUGGACUUAUGUCAUUUUAGAUGCUGAGCUAUAGGUAAAAAAACUGUCAGGCAGUCUGCUUAAUAGACUCCCCAUCUAUUAAAAAAGAGAGUGCACACACUCUCCUGUAUAUCAGUUAGUCUUGGAGCAUGCCACCAACUCUCCAUGAAUAGUAAUGAUGAUAAUAGCAAGUAAUGAAAGAAAAUCAUGUGACAAAAAGGAGGCUGUGGCUGAUGGCAGAGCAAAGGACAGAGGUCUGUGGGCUGAAUGUCACCUGUUACAAGGUAAUGAAUCUGUCUAGUUUCCAUCUGAAAUGCCUGAUGUCAUUUGCAGUUUCUUGGGAUUCUACUCCUUUCAGAUAUGAAGCCAGCUCUCAUGCUUUAUAGGCUUUUUGGCCUGACACCAGCAUCUAAGCAGAUGAAAAUAAUGAUUGCUGCCACACUCUCUGGUACUGUUAAUUUUUCAAAAGUUCAUGUUUUCUAUCACUGCUUUAAGGGAGGGUGUGAGGCUUGGUGCCAAUGCUCAAAUGUGGACCUGGAGUGCUAAACAUAGGUAUGUCGUGUUAAACCCUGACAGGUGGGGUGUCCCAGGUUACUUGUUGGGCCCCUCCAAUUCAGAAAGACAUGGAUCCUUUUGUAGACCUUGUGUCACAUCUGGCCUCCUCUGGGUGGUUUGUUUAAGCAAAGGUGUCUGAAGAGUGCCACCCCACCUGGGCGCUAUUCCUGGUCCUUAGGAUUGCUGAGGUUUCCUUGCCCUGACAUAGUUUCCAGGUCUUCACUGUUCUGUGUCCUUGUGUGGGAUGAACAGAGGAGUGCUUCCUCACCUCGUGGAAGUCGUGGGGGAAGAAGCACACUCAGAACUUCACAAACAUGCCCAGGUAUAAUAGGCAGUACACUUCCAACAGCUAUGAUAGUUAUUUCACAAUAUUAUUUCAACUUUGUGAGAUGUUUUUUGGUGGUGCUGAGGACAGACAGAGAUUCUUUUCCAAGGAGGUCAGAAUCUGUGAAAACAAAUGACAGAUGGGUGAAAAGCAUACCAAUAGAGUGAAUGAAGUACCUUGUACUCUUUUCAGUGUUAUUUAUUCAAGUAAUUUAUUCAGAUUUUUCUGUUGAUUCUUUUAUCUUUCAUACAGUGUUUAGCAUUUUAUAGAUACUUAUUAGCUAUCCUUCAAGUACUACACUGAGGCUGAUCAUGUCCAAGUUAGGAACUUGAAAACUGGCAGAGAGGUUAACUCUUCUCAAAGUCUCACAGUAAGACAAUGAAAGAUUUCCAGCAAGGUUAAAAGACAGGCUCCAACCAUGCACAGCUUUUUUGCAGAAAUUGUUUAUAUUUAUCAUGUGCUUUUACUUUCUUAAAAGUAUAUAAUUCAAGCAAUUUAACAAUGUAUGUGUUUCCCUUACAAAUCAGAAUUAUCAAAUCAGACUCUGAUCUUGCCACAGAUGCUCAGGAGCACUCCAUGCCCUGUGAGCUUUGUUAACCAUUACCUCAAAUUUUGUCUGCUUCUUCUCUUCAGCAUCCCAUGCCAGCCAGCUGCUUCAGAGUAGGAUGUUGGUUGCUCCUUAAAAUAAACUCUUCUCAGAGUGUUAUCUUG